CGAGGAUGACGUAUCAGUCAUUGGCUUGGCUGCAUGGGAACAUGUCGGAAACGACUUGCGCAGGCACCAAAACACGUCGACGGUCGCAAGCGUUGAGUGUGAAGUUUCCUGCUUGCUUGACUGCUCUGAGCGCCGAUGCCGCCGCAGAUACCGCCACCGCCGUUGCCGCCACUGCUGCCGCCCAGGUGGUUGCUGAGUUUUCUUCAUGUUAGCUCUCAGUAGUCCCUGGCAAGUCCUUAGGUCAGCUGCAAGACGGCAUCCGUGACCUCCGCAGCGAGUCCACCAAGCUGAUUAUCUGCACCGC